rnacentral:tRNA from 1 species
GAGGGGCUAAUCCAACUAAGAUUUCUGAUUUCGGCUCAGACCACUGUGGUUAGAAUCCACAGCCCCUUU